GUCUGGCCCCAGGACGCUUCUGUUCUGAAGGUACCACCUAUGCCAGAGGAGGCCAGCGGAGGCCUGCACGGGGACAGGAAAGACCUCCCAUGGGGCCUCCAGACUGAGCUGCUCCCGAUGCUUCUGGAGAGAGACAGUCAUGGUGACAAGUCAGAGAAAGCCACGCCGCGGAGAAGGCCAGGCCGGCAGGACUCUCUCCUCCCUCCGCCCCCGCUUCGCACCCUGCUGACUCCACCCAUGCUUGAGAAGCCAAGCACCCUGACCAUGAAGAGCCUCAUCUCCAAGCUGAACCCCCUGGUUGGUCUGGAGUUGGGGACCCCAUGGCUAUCAGGAGAGGCUGGCAGCCCAGCCCUGAGUGCCCAGGCCCUCAAGGAGAUGGCCCUGGGCACCAAGAGCAUUGCCCGAAUCGCAGCCAGCCGGCGCUCUAAGGCACAGGACCGGGAGGGCAGCAGCAGUGGCUCCUCCCGACAUCUCUUGGAGGAGGCAGGCCUGGACUCCAGGGACCCAAAGCCCAGCGCCACCCCAGCCCCCAGCCCUGCAGACAGGAGGUGGCUCCCUGCCAGGAAGGUCAGGAGGAAGCGAUCGCCCUCCGUCACCUGCAGCAUGCGACCGGUGACUGAGAAACCUCCCCUCUCUGUGGAGCAUUUGUCUGAGAGCCAGUUGCCCCCUGGACACUUCCAGCCAUCAAAGUCAUCAGGAAAGAGCUUUUUCCCAGCUGUCCCUGCGGCCUCCAAGAUAAAACCCACCCUCAGUUUCCACACAGGUACAGGGUUCAGGGGAAAAAGUAGCAUGUUCUGUUCUGUGUCUUUUUCUUUCCUUUUUUUUUUUUUUGGUACCGGGGAUUGAACUCGGGUCCUUGUGCUUGCGCAGCAGGCAGUGAAACCACUGAGCUAAACCCCCGGCCUGAUGGUGUCCCCUGUGAACUUCUGCCACUGCCCCCGUGACAGGACCCUGGCCGUGUCCAGGUGAUCAUGGCCACAAAACAUGGCAGGGCUGGUGCUCACCCACAAAGGGUACCUGCACUGCUGCUGCAGGG
rnacentral:lncRNA from 1 species